rnacentral:rRNA from 1 species
CCGCUCAGAAACUUAAAGGAAUUGACGGGACCCGCACAAGCAGCGGAGCAUGUGGUUUAAUUCGAAGCAACGCGAAGAACCUUACCAGAUCUUGACAUCCAAUUGACCAUCUUUUAAUCGAGAUUUUGCCUUCGGGUACAAUUGAGACAGGUGGUGCAUGGUUGUCGUCAGCUCGUGUCGUGAGAUGUUGGGUUAAGUCCCGCAACGAGCGCAACCCUUGUGUUUAGUUGCAAACAGGUCAAGCUGUGCACUCUAGACAGACUGCCGUGGACAACACGGAGGAAGGUGGGGAUGACGUCAAAUCAUCAUGCCCCUUAUGAUCUGGGCUACACACGUGCUACAAUGGCCGGUACAACGGGCAGCGAAGGAGCGAUCCGGAGCGAAUCCUAAAAAGCCGGUCCCAGUUCGGAUUGCAGGCUGAAACUCGCCUACAUGAAGUUGGAGUUGCUAGUAAUCGCGAAUCAGAAUGUCGCGGUGAAUGCGUUCCCGGGUCUU